GAGAAAGUCAUAAAGGUUAUGGGGAUGACUUAAAAUCAGUCUUAGGUGGUUCAAUUCCUCCCUUUCUUG
rnacentral:tRNA from 1 species